GGUUAAGCGACUAAGCGUACACGGUGGAUGCCCUGGCAGUCAGAGGCGAUGAAGGACGUGCUAAUCUGCGAAAAGCGCCGGCGAGGUGAUAUGAACCUUUGACCCGGCGAUGUCCGAAUGGGGAAACCCAGUGUGAUUCGUCACACUAUCGUUAACUGAAUACAUAGGUUAACGAGGCGAACCGGGGGAACUGAAACAUCUAAGUACCCCGAGGAAAAGAAAUCAACCGAGAUUCCCCCAGUAGCGGCGAGCGAACGGGGAGCAGCCCAGAGUCUGAAUCAGCUUGUGUGUUAGUGGAAGCGUCUGGAAAGUCGCACGGUACAGGGUGACAGUCCCGUACACGAAAGCACACAGGCUGUGAACUCGAAGAGUAGGGCGGGACACGUGGUAUCCUGUCUGAAUAUGGGGGGACCAUCCUCCAAGGCUAAAUACUCCUGACUGACCGAUAGUGAACCAGUACCGUGAGGGAAAGGCGAAAAGAACCCCGGCGAGGGGAGUGAAAAAGAACCUGAAACCGUGUACGUACAAGCAGUGGGAGCACCUUCGUGGUGUGACUGCGUACCUUUUGUAUAAUGGGUCAGCGACUUAUAUUCUGUAGCAAGGUUAACCGUAUAGGGGAGCCGAAGGGAAACCGAGUCUUAACUGGGCGUUAAGUUGCAGGGUAUAGACCCGAAACCCGGUGAUCUAGCCAUGGGCAGGUUGAAGGUUGGGUAACACUAACUGGAGGACCGAACCGACUAAUGUUGAAAAAUUAGCGGAUGACUUGUGGCUGGGGGUGAAAGGCCAAUCAAACCGGGAGAUAGCUGGUUCUCCCCGAAAGCUAUUUAGGUAGCGCCUCGUGAACUCAUCUUCGGGGGUAGAGCACUGUUUCGGCUAGGGGGCCAUCCCGGCUUACCAACCCGAUGCAAACUACGAAUACCGAAGAAUGUUAUCACGGGAGACACACGGCGGGUGCUAACGUCCGUCGUGAAGAGGGAAACAACCCAGACCGCCAGCUAAGGUCCCAAAGUCAUGGUUAAGUGGGAAACGAUGUGGGAAGGCACAGACAGCCAGGAUGUUGGCUUAGAAGCAGCCAUCAUUUAAAGAAAGCGUAAUAGCUCACUGGUCGAGUCGGCCUGCGCGGAAGAUGUAACGGGGCUAAACCAUGCACCGAAGCUGCGGCAGCGACGCUUAGGCGUUGUUGGGUAGGGGAGCGUUCUGUAAGCCGUUGAAGGUGUGCUGUGAGGCAUGCUGGAGGUAUCAGAAGUGCGAAUGCUGACAUAAGUAACGAUAAAGCGGGUGAAAAGCCCGCUCGCCGGAAGACCAAGGGUUCCUGUCCAACGUUAAUCGGGGCAGGGUGAGUCGACCCCUAAGGCGAGGCCGAAAGGCGUAGUCGAUGGGAAACAGGUUAAUAUUCCUGUACUUGGUGUUACUGCGAAGGGGGGACGGAGAAGGCUAUGUUAGCCGGGCGACGGUUGUCCCGGUUUAAGCAUGUAGGCGGAGGUUCCAGGUAAAUCCGGUACCUUUUAACGCUGAGGUGUGAUGACGAGGCACUACGGUGCUGAAGUAACAAAUGCCCUGCUUCCAGGAAAAGCCUCUAAGCAUCAGGUAACACGAAAUCGUACCCCAAACCGACACAGGUGGUCAGGUAGAGAAUACCAAGGCGCUUGAGAGAACUCGGGUGAAGGAACUAGGCAAAAUGGUGCCGUAACUUCGGGAGAAGGCACGCUGAUAUGUAGGUGAAGCCCCUGCGGGUGGAGCUGAAAUCAGUCGAAGAUACCAGCUGGCUGCAACUGUUUAUUAAAAACACAGCACUGUGCAAACACGAAAGUGGACGUAUACGGUGUGACGCCUGCCCGGUGCCGGAAGGUUAAUUGAUGGGGUUAGCGGUAACGCGAAGCUCUUGAUCGAAGCCCCGGUAAACGGCGGCCGUAACUAUAACGGUCCUAAGGUAGCGAAAUUCCUUGUCGGGUAAGUUCCGACCUGCACGAAUGGCGUAAUGAUGGCCAGGCUGUCUCCACCCGAGACUCAGUGAAAUUGAACUCGCUGUGAAGAUGCAGUGUACCCGCGGCAAGACGGAAAGACCCCGUGAACCUUUACUAUAGCUUGACACUGAACACUGGUCCUUGAUGUGUAGGAUAGGUGGGAGGCUUUGAAGCGUGGACGCCAGUCUGCGUGGAGCCAACCUUGAAAUACCACCCUUUAAUGGCUGGUGUUCUAACGUAGACCCGUGAUCCGGGUUGCGGACAGUGUCUGGUGGGUAGUUUGACUGGGGCGGUCUCCUCCCAAAGAGUAACGGAGGAGCACGAAGGUUAGCUAAUCCUGGUCGGACAUCAGGAGGUUAGUGCAAUGGCAUAAGCUAGCUUGACUGCGAGAGUGACGGCUCGAGCAGGUGCGAAAGCAGGUCAUAGUGAUCCGGUGGUUCUGAAUGGAAGGGCCAUCGCUCAACGGAUAAAAGGUACUCCGGGGAUAACAGGCUGAUACCGCCCAAGAGUUCAUAUCGACGGCGGUGUUUGGCACCUCGAUGUCGGCUCAUCACAUCCUGGGGCUGAAGUAGGUCCCAAGGGUAUGGCUGUUCGCCAUUUAAAGUGGUACGCGAGCUGGGUUUAGAACGUCGUGAGACAGUUCGGUCCCUAUCUGCCGUGGGCGCUGGAGAAUUGAGGGGGGCUGCUCCUAGUACGAGAGGACCGGAGUGGACGCAUCACUGGUGUUCGGGUUGUCAUGCCAAUGGCACUGCCCGGUAGCUAAAUGCGGAAAAGAUAAGUGCUGAAAGCAUCUAAGCACGAAACUUGCCCCGAGAUGAGUUCUCCCUGACCCUUUAAGGGUCCUGAAGGAACGUUGAAGACUACGACGUUGAUAGGUCGGGUGUGUAAGCGCAGCGAUGCGUUGAGCUAACCGAUACUAAUGAACCGUGAGGCUUAACCUU
rnacentral:rRNA from 1 species